rnacentral:lncRNA from 1 species
UAACCUGUGCUGUAGAAACUUGAGCAUGCAGUUCACGGAGGAAGCCAAAACUCCAGAUGGCUCCUCUGGCACCCAGGAUAUAUGGUGGCACCUGAAUGGACUCUCUUUUAGGGGGUAGGAGCAAAUUCCGUGGUACUGCUGGGACCUAUGAUACUGGUGAUGCUUUGAUCUCUCACUCUUCUUGUGCUGAUUGUGGGUGCUGUGCUAUUUUAAACCCACAUGGAAGUAUGUUUUCAGGACCAUCUGCUACCGGCCCUAACCCAGAUGAUACAGUUAGAGCCUGCCCACAGCAUCCUCCCCUCCUUCAGGCGGUUCCAGGAACAAGCGCAGCUUUCUGGUCAUCCACUCAUUUGGCAAAACUGGCAAAACGUGCCCUCUCCUUUGGACUGCUGCUGUCGUCACGCUUCUCCUGGAUGCACUUAGCAUGCUGUACUGCUUGCCACCCAGCAGGUUAA